rnacentral:rRNA from 1 species
GAUGAACGCUGGCGGCGUGCCUAAUACAUGCAAGUCGAGCGAACAGACGAGGAGCUUGCUCCUCUGACGUUAGCGGCGGACGGGUGAGUAACACGUGGAUAACCUACCUAUAAGACUGGGAUAACUUCGGGAAACCGGAGCUAAUACCGGAUAAUAUAUUGAACCGCAUGGUUCAAUAGUGAAAGACGGUUUUGCUGUCACUUAUAGAUGGAUCCGCGCCGCAUUAGCUAGUUGGUAAGGUAACGGCUUACCAAGGCGACGAUGCGUAGCCGACCUGAGAGGGUGAUCGGCCACACUUGAACUGAGACACGGUCCAGACUCCUACGGGAGGCAGCAGUAGGGAAUCUUCCGCAAUGGGCGAAAGCCUGACGGAGCAACGCCGCGUGAGUGAUGAAGGUCUUCGGAUCGUAAAACUCUGUUAUUAGGGAAGAACAAAUGUGUAAGUAACUAUGCACGUCUUGACGGUACCUAAUCAGAAAGCCACGGCUAACUACGU